rnacentral:rRNA from 1 species
AGGCCUAUCAGGUAGUUGGCGGGUAACGGCCACCAAGCCUACGACGGGUACCCGGACUGAGAGGUCGGCCGGGCACACUGGCACUGAGACACUGGCCAGACUCCUACGGGAGGCUGCAGUCGAGAAUCUUCCGCAAUGGGGGCAACCCUGACGGAGCGACGCCGCGUGGAGGAAGAAGGCCUUCGGGUUGUAAACUCCUGUCACGACUUACGAAAAUGCAGCGUGUAACAUCGCUGCACUGACAAAGGGUCGGAAGGAAGCCACAGCUAACUUCGUGCCAGCAGCUGCGGUAAUACGAAGGUGGCAAGCGUUGUUCGGAUUCACUGGGCAUAAAGGGCGCGUAGGCGGUUCCGAAAGUGAUCUGUGAAAAGCCCCCCGGCUCAACCGGG